GAUGAACGCUAGCGGCAGGCCUAAUACAUGCAAGUCGAACGGUAGAUCGGGUAGCAAUACUUGAUUGAGAGUGACGUAAGGGUGCGUAACACGUAUGCAAUCUACCCUCAACAGGAGUAUAGCUCGGGGAAACUCGGAUUAACACUCCAUAACAUUACGAUGUGGUAUCACAUUGUGAUUAAAACUCCGGUGGUUGAGGAUGAGCAUGCGUCUGAUUAGUUAGUUGGAGGUGUAACGGACCCCCAAGACGAUGAUCAGUAGGGGAACUGAGAGGUUGAUCCCCCACACUGGCACUGAGAUACGGGCCAGACUCCUACGGGAGGCAGCAGUAGGGAAUAUUGGUCAAUGGGUGAGAGCCUGAACCAGCCAUGCCGCGUGCAGGAAGACGGCCUUCUGGGUUGUAAACUGCUUUUAUCUGGGGAUAAAAAGCCCAUGCGUGGGACAUUGAAGGUACCAGAUGAAUAAGCACCGGCUAACU
rnacentral:rRNA from 1 species